UAAUUGAAGGUCGUUCUAUGACCUAGACAUAUCGGAAUGUCGUAGUAUUUUGACUACGUGGUAGAAUUAAAGUGUUUGAAUUUCCAAGACGAAAAUAAAAAUUUUCCGAGAAAUUUUCUGAAAAAAACUAUUCAUGCAUUUCUACUCGGGCAUUAUUUUUGAAUUUCCGAGAAAUAAGUAAUGAUAGAAUAUCAAGGUGAGAUAGAAUAUCCAAUAAUAUUUCAGUUAUGGCAAACACAGUUUUUUGCCUGCGGACUUAAAACCUAACGAUUAGGGAAAGUGAGUUCCGAGAAGAAAAUGUAAUGCGUAUAAUGAAUUAAAGCGUUGAUCGUAUAAUACAUAAGUAUUGUAUGAGGUAAUGAAUACGAGUAUAAUACGAGGUGUUAUACGAGUAUGAAUGAAUGAUGGUAUGUCGUAUAUGAAUAAGUAUACGAAGUAAAAUAUGAGAUUAAUACGUAAAUUAUACGUUAUAAGGCUUUAAGCCAAAUGUAAUGGACUUGUAGGAUUAAAUAGGAAAUUGGUAGAGUUCAAUGAGAAUUUAGAUGCAAGCCCAAACUAUUGUAAUGCAAGCCCAACAAGGAAUAAGCUAGAUUAAUUAAGUAAGUCCAAUAUAAUGAUCCAUUGGAUAAGUAGGAUCCAUAGUGCAACCCAUGGAUAGACUUGAUGGGCAAGAACUUUAUGUGAUGCCCAAAUACUUUAUGUGAUGAUCAAGUGUUGUGGUGAACAAGAAAUUAAUGUGGCUAGCAAGUUUACUUAGAGGCAAAGUAAGGAAUAGUAAGGAG
rnacentral:lncRNA from 1 species